rnacentral:rRNA from 1 species
AGAGUUUGAUCCUGGCUCAGGACGAACGCUGGCGGCGUGCUUAACACAUGCAAGUCAAGGGAGAAAAAGGCAGCAAUGCUUUGAGUAAACCGGCAGACGGGUGCGUAACACGUAGGCAACCUUCCUUGUUGACUGGAAUAACCCCGAGAAAUCGGGAUUAAUACCAGAUAAUAUUGUUUUUUGGCAUUAAGAAACAAUCAAAGCUCCAAAAGAGCGCGGCAAGAUGGGCCUGCGUCCGAUUAGCUAGUUGGCGAGGUAAUGGCUCACCAAGGCAAUGAUCGGUAGCUGGUCUGAGAGGAUGGUCAGCCACACUGGAACUGAGACACGGUCCAGACUCCUACGGGAGGCAGCAGUGAGGAAUAUUGCUCAAUGGACGAAAGUCUGAAGCAGCGACGCCGCGUGAGGGAUGAAAUCCGUUAGGAUGUAAACCUCUUUUGUGGGUGAAGAAUAUAGCGCUAUAGGCGCUAUUGACGGUAGCCCGCGAAUAAGCAUCGGCUAACUACGUGCCAGCAGCCGCGGUAAUACGUAGGAUGCAAGCGUUGUCCGGAAUCACUGGGUGUAAAGGGUCCGCAGGUGGAUUUGUAAGUCUGUGGUGAAAUCUUACGGCUCAACCGUAAAACUGCCACAGAUACUGCUUUUCUAGAGUGUGAAAGAGGAAGAUGGAAUUCAUGGUGUAGCAGUGAAAUGCGUAGAUAUCAUGAAGAACACCGGUAGCGAAGGCGGUCUUCUGGUUCACUACUGACGCUCAUGGACGAAAGCGUGGGGAUCAAACAGGAUUAGAUACCCUGGUAGUCC